GAUGAACGCUGGCGGCGUGCCUAACACAUGCAAGUCGAGCGAACAGACGAGGAGCUUGCUCCUCUGACGUUAACCGCGGACGUGUGAGUAACACGUGUAUACCCUCCCUGUAAUACUGGGAUAACUUCGAGAAACCGGAGCUAAUACCAUAUAAGAUCUUGAACCGCAUUGUUCAUUAGUGAGAGCCGGCGUUGCUGUCACUUAUAGAUGGAUCCGCGCCUCAUUAGCUAGUUGGUAGGGUAACGGCUUACCAAGGCUACGAUGCGUAGCCGACCUGAGAGGCGGAUCGGCCACACUGGAACGGAGACACGGUCCAGACUCCUACGGGAGGCAGCAGUAGGGAAUCUUCGGCAAUGGGCGAAAGCCUGACGGAGCAACGCCGCGUGAGUGAUGAAGGUCUUCGGAUCGUAAAACUCUGUUAUUAGUGAAGAACAACUUUGUAAGGAAAUAUGCACGUCUUGACGGUACCGAAUCAAAAAGCCCCGGCUAACUACGUG
rnacentral:rRNA from 1 species